rnacentral:misc_RNA from 1 species
GGAGCAUUUUAUUUCAUUGUCUCCAUCGCGACCCGGUCGGAUCCUUCUCAGCCUCACUCUGAUAAACCCUAAUUUAGAUCUUCGAUUAACUAUCUCAAUCUACGCCUUGAUGUUUGUUAGCGUAUCUAUUUUAUGUUAGGGUUUUAUUGGUGAUGUUCAUUAUCCAUUUAUAUAUGGAAAUGGCUUGCUCCUUGUUCUCGAGCUGUUGACGAUUUUGAAGAUGGAUUACUCAUAUGUUGAGUUUUGAUGCUAUUGCUUGUUCAAUUUCAACGUAUUUGGCUUAUUUUUAAUCUCGCACAUCUAUUUUUGUAUGUUGUUCUGCCUAGUUACUGAGAACUUCUAGGAAAUUAUUGGAAAAGAAGGAAUGCAAUGAACAAAUCUCAUUAUUUUACGCUUGAAUUUAUUUUUUUUAACAUAUUUUUCACUAUGGGUGUUCAUUUCUACUAUGAACAAGAUCUAGGGGUUGUUGGGAAGUUGCAUUUUUCACUUUUGCUCUGCUUGGUGCAGAUUUGUUUGCCUGAUUAAAUUAUGCGGUUCCAGUUAUGUACCAUAUUGUGCUUUGUCUCGCCAUUAAAAAUGGAUUGUAUUGAAUGUAUGAAUUGUAGACACUAAGUUUCCUUCUAAGCUAGACUGAAAAAUAAGCAUUGAUAGUAAUUUGUUCUCAACUAAUGAAUGAGUGAUAUAAAUUAAAACCGAGUACAAGUCAAAGGAAAUGAAUACCUUACAGUUUGUGUUAAAGUGGCAUCCAAAUGGUACGGUGGGGUUUCUUCAUUUACUUAAAUUAUCUACAUUUGUAAUUUAGUUUAGGAGUUAUAUUAAGUAAUGAUGUUUUGCUGGUUUUGUUCCCCUUUUUGAUUUUAAAAAAUAAAAAAUAAAUAAAAAAAACAGUACUUUUAGUUCUAAAAGGAAAGUCUGAUUUCAUAUCUUCUGUUUAGUGGCAUUUGUUUAAAACCGAUUUAAUUGAUUCAUUUGUUGUGCAUCUUAUGAUUAUGUGUGUGCUUUUCCUAAACUCCUUUAUGCAUUAAGAACAAAGAAAAUGUUGAUUGCAGAUUUAUUAGCUUUAACCAUAGAAGUCAAAUGGCUGGCGGUAAGAUUGCCCAUGCCACCUUGAAAGGACCGAGUGUUGUUAAGGAGAUAUGAAUGGGGAUUGUGCUUGGUCUGGCUGCUGGUGGUCUUUGGAAGAUGCAUCACUGGAAUGAACAGAGGAAAGCAUGAGCAUUUUAUGAUUUGCUAGAAAAAGGUGAGAUUAGCGUGGUUGCAGAGGACUAAAAAUUUAUUUCAUGCUUCAACCAUGAUUUUGUGAACAGAUUGAGCAGUAUUCUGACUUUUUUGUCUUGCAUAUUUGGCACUUAAGUUGAGCAUACUUGAUUUGUCUUUGAAGAAUAAAUUUCUUGUUUUGAAUUGUGGAGUACAUAUUUGUUUUGCAUGAAUGUGAGAAGUUUAAUGGCUUUCACCAUUUUGAUGUUUCUGUUGUAAGUUCUGGAAUGGGAUUGCUAUCAGUUUUAAUGCCUGUGCUAUUAUAUAUAUGCCCCUCUAGAACAAGACAUGCAAAUGGAAAAAAUCAGUCCAUAAGUAUGAUAAGCCUGGUAUAUGCCACCUUUACGAGUUCUUCUAUCCUGCUACCUUUCCAAUUUAUCCAUGAAAUGCAAUUCUGCCUUAAUUAACAUCUGAUUGCUAUAGCCAAAUGAGCAACCUGUCCCUGGUGCGAUCACGAGUGCAAGGCAAAAUAGAAUCUCCAGCUUUGUACAAGGAACUCUCUCUCUUUCUGGUCUGGGGGUUGAAUGAAGAAACUUUUGUACGAGCUUUAGAAUUAAUUAUUAAAAUUUUAUGCUUUAGAAUAUGAUAAUACCAAAUAUUUUGUAGAUUUCAUUCGAAC